rnacentral:misc_RNA from 1 species
CACCGCCUAGCUCUGCCAUCUGAAAUCAUUGUUUGAGAUGACAAGUAAGGAACCCAUUCUGAGUUAGAACGAAGCGCAUCAAGUCGAAUAAUCCGCUGCCAUGUUGCAAAAUCUUCACUAUUAUGGAGCUUUGAUGAGACCUCAGUCCUAGAGGGAGAAGAAUUUUCCUUGAGCGUCAUAUCAAGAUAAGGCUCUUCCAUUCCAUCGGUUUGACUAAGAUCCAAGUCAUCUGAGGAGUCCGAGUCAGAGGUGUCUGAAUUCAGUACCAAAG